rnacentral:rRNA from 1 species
UACAGAGGGCCCAAGCGUUGUUCGGAUUCACUGGGCGUAAAGGGUGCGUAGGUGGCCAGGUAAGUUUGGUGUGAAAGCUCGGAGCUUAACUCCGAAAAGUCAUUGAAUACUAUCUGGCUGGAGGGUCGGAGGGGAGACUGGAAUUCUCGGUGUAGCAGUGAAAUGCGUAGAUAUCGAGAGGAACACCAGUGGCGAAGGCGAGUCUCUGGACGACUCCUGACACUGAGGCACGAAAGCUAGGGGAGCAAACAGG